rnacentral:rRNA from 1 species
AACGUAGGGGGCAAGCGUUGCCCGGAUUCACUGGGCGUAAAGCGGGUGUAGGCGGUUCCUUAAGUCAGAUGUGAAAUCCUGCGGCUCAACCGCGGAACUGCAUCUGAUACUGGGGAACUUGAGGACGGUAGAGGUCGGUGGAAUACCCUGUGUACCGGUGAAAUGGGCAGAUAUAGGGUGGAACACCAGUGGCGAAGGCGGCCGACUGGGCCGAUCCUGACGCUGAGACCCGAAAGCCAGGGUAGCGAACCGGG